CGUUGCGAAAGCCACAACUCUGUUGUUCGUCUGACUUGUAUGUAUCUUAAUUUUUCUCUGUUUGUUUAAGGUGUAUAUCUGCAGUCGCCUUAUUGUGUCCGUUUUUCAAUUAAUAAAAAAACAAAGAGCUUUACUGUAUAUCCUUGGAUCUAUGCAAUGAUGAGUUUAAUGAUAUGGUGGUUAUUGUGGCUGUUAUUUGGUCAAGGAUUCACAAUGAAAAUGGGUUGGAAUGAAGAGCUUGAGUUUUGUGAGGAAGAAUGGAAGAAAUUUGUGGCGGACAAAAUUGAAAUCGAUUCGAAAUGCAACAAUACUCGUACACGUUGUUGUGUUGAGGAGAAGAAAUAUCUUUUGGAGCGAUUUAAAAUGUUUAGUGAAAUAUGUCCUCUUGAAGGGACAUGUGGAUGCAGCCCGAUGAUUUUGAACCUUACUGUUUUUCACACGUCGAUUAUCGUCAUUAUCGUAUAUGAAAAGCAAUAUCCGCAAAAUGGAAAGAACCAGAAAACUUAACGUGUUCACAUAAGUACAUAAAAGAAAGAAUAGAAGGGUGUCCUCUACCUUACCUUGCCAUCGGACAACACAAAAUCCCUUACGUGUAUGUUUUAUACGGUGGAAAAAAUCACACCUGUUAUGUUGUCAUCAACGUGAGCCUAAAACGACAAGAUACGAAUGGAUUUU